UACUCUUAGUUAGACUAGCGUUUUGCUGAAAAGUAACGGCAGGAGUGUACUGGAUAGUACGAACUGGUUAUUCAAUGUAUUAGGUUUAUCCAACUCGUUGAAACGCUGGGGAGUGAGUUUCCGGUAAAUGGCUCGGCCUUAUAACAACAAACACAAGUUUGACCUCAAAUCAGGUAGGAUUACCCGCUGAACUUAAGCAUAUCAAUAAGCGGAGGAAAAGAAACCAACAGGGAUUGCCUUAGUAGCGGCGAGUGAAGCGGCAAUAGCUCAAAUUUGAAAUCUGGCGUCUUCGGCGUCCGAGUUGUAAUUUGAAGAAGGUAUCUUUGGUUUUGGCUCUUGUCUAUGUUCCUUGGAACAGGACGUCACAGAGGGUGAGAAUCCCGUGCGAUGAGAUGCCCAAUUCCAUGUAAAGUUCCUUCGACGAGUCGAGUUGUUUGGGAAUGCAGCUCUAAGUGGGUGGUAAAUUCCAUCUAAAGCUAAAUAUUGGCGAGAGACCGAUAGCGAACAAGUACUGUGAAGGAAAGAUGAAAAGAACUUUGAAAAGAGAGUGAAAAAGUACGUGAAAUUGUUGAAAGGGAAGGGCUUGAGAUCAGACUUGGAAUUUUCCAGCAAUGGAGCUUUCCGGGCCAGCAUCAGUUUGGAUGGCAGGAUAAUUGCGUAGGAAAGUGGCUCCACUACGGUGGAGUGUUAUAGCCUGCGUCGAUACUGCCUGUCUAGACUGAGGACUGCGUCUUUGACUAGGAUGCUGGCAUAAUG
rnacentral:rRNA from 1 species